UACGUAGGUGGCAAGCGUUGUCCGGAAUUAUUGGGCGUAAAGCGCGCGCAGGCGGUCCUUUAAGUCUGAUGUGAAAGCCCACGGCUCAACCGUGGAGGGUCAUUGGAAACUGGGGGACUUGAGUACAGAAGAGGAAAGUGGAAUUCCACGUGUAGCGGUGAAAUGCGUAGAGAUGUGGAGGAACACCAGUGGCGAAGGCGGCUUCCUGGCCUGUUCUUGACGCUGAGGCGCGAAAGCUAGGGGAGCAAACGGG
rnacentral:rRNA from 1 species